rnacentral:ncRNA from 17 species
GCCGAGGGCCGUGACUGGCGCGCUGGGCCCCGGCGGGACGCCGGGACCCGAAGAUGGGACCGACCAUCGGGAAGCGGCCCGAGCAGCAUCUGUGCCGUGCGCCUGGGCCGUCCCG